rnacentral:rRNA from 1 species
UACGUAGGGCGCAAGCGUUGUCCGGAAUUACUGGGCGUAAAGCGUGCGCAGGCGGUUCGCCAAGUCAGGUGUGAAAUCCCCGGGCUUAACCUGGGAACUGCGCUUGUAACUGAGAGGCUAGAGUGUGGCAGAGGGGGGUGGAAUUCCACGUGUAGCAGUGAAAUGCGUAGAUAUGUGGAGGAACACCGAUGGCGAAGGCAGCCCCCUGGGCUAACACUGACGCUCAUGCACGAAAGCGUGGGGAGCAAACAGG